UACAGAGGUCUCGAGCGUUAGGCGGAAUCACUGGGCUUAAAGCGUGUGUAGGUGGAUCGUUAAGUACCUUGUGAAAUCCCACGGCUUAACCGUGGAACUGCUUGGUAUACUGGCGGUCUUGAGCCAGCUAGGGGCUACCGGAACAAAUGGUGGAGCGGUGAAAUGCGUAGAUAUCGGGAGGAACACCUGUGGCGAAAGCGGCUCACUGGACCACAACUGACGCUGAUGCGCGAAAGCUAGGGGAGCAAACAGG
rnacentral:rRNA from 1 species